UAAAAGUAUUUAAGUGUGUGUGUGUGUGUGUGUGUGUGUGUGUGUGUAUGAAUGCACAUACACACUGCACAGUUGUGAAGUUUCCUCAGAGGUCAGUAAAGGAAGUUAUAUCCCCUAGGGUGGAGUUACAGGAGAUUGUGAGCCUGCCCUUGUGGAUGCUGGGUACUGACCUCUUGGUCCUCCUGAAAAUCAAAAGUAAUAAUUGACUCUCCAACCCUGUCUUCCCCUUCAUUCUUUUAGUCAUUGCCAUUAGAACUUCACCACUAUCACUACCAUCAGGCACUUCAAGAAAAGUCAUCAUGUCAAGAUUCCCAUGGCCUCCAAACUUCUAACUCUGAGCACAGGUUCCUUGGGCUUCUACAAAACUUUCCCACCUAUGACUGUUUAUGUGUGUGCAUGUGUGCCUGUGUGCCUGUGUGUGUGUGUUUGUAUGUGUGACUGAAUGUGUAUAUGUAUAUUUGCAGCCACACAUAUGAAUCCAUAUAGGCUAGUAAACAACCUCAGAGGAUACUGCUCAGGCACCAUCCACCUUCUUUCUGAAACAAGGUUAUAACUGGUCUGAACGCACUAAGUAGGCUAGACUGUAUGACAAAUGAGACCAAGGAUCACUGGCCUCCUUCACCUCAGCACAUGUCAUGGCUCCUAAUUCAAGUUUUUUUUUUUUUAAGAUAAAUAUUAUCUCCUUAUAAUGAACUCAAAAAAUAAAGGCAUUGCUUAGCUAGAUUAGAAAAGCCACACAAAGUCUUUGUCACAAUCUCUUUGCCACAAACAACUCUAUACAUCUCAUUGAACUUCUAUGCAACUACAGUAUAGAUUCCGGAGAUAAGGAGCUUCAUUUUAAAUUUAACACAAUUACUGUUACCUUUUUAUACACUUGUUCAACACACACAAAGCAAUGAUGAGAAUUAAAGCCAAAAAUCAAUUAUCUUUGUAUUAUCUUUACUGCUCGUUUGUCUUUACCUGAAUUCUUGCUCUCCUUUCUAAAUGUUAUACUACCAUAAAUACAUUUGAUUUCUUAUAAACAUUUAUAUAUUACAGGCUAGAUCUAAAUAUUUUCAAUCUACUGGCACCAU
rnacentral:lncRNA from 1 species